rnacentral:rRNA from 1 species
UAAUACGUAGGGGGCAAGCGUUGUCCGGAUUUACUGGGCGUAAAGAGCGUGUAGGCGGCCAAACAGGUCCGUUGUGAAAACUGGAGGCUUAACCUCCAGACGUCGACGGAAACCGUGUGGCUAGAGUCCGGAAGAGGAGAGUGGAAUUCCUGGUGUAGCGGUGAAAUGCGCAGAUAUCAGGAAGAACACCAAUGGCGAAGGCAGCUCUCUGGGACGGUACUGACGCUGAGACGCGAAAGCGUGGGGAGCGAACAGGAUUAGAUACCCUGGUAGUCCACGCCGUAAACGAUGGGUGCUAGGUGUGGGAGGUGUCGACUCCUUCCGUGCCGUAGCUAACGCAUUAAGCACCCCGCCUGGGGAGUACGGCCGCAAGGCUA